ensembl:lncRNA
AAGAUAUUAAAUUUAGAAAAACAUUUCUUAAAUAUAAUUUUAAUUUUUUCAAAAACAUUAAACUUGGAGAAUGUGUUUUAAAAACACUUUCCGUUUUUUCCCCACAUUGGAAAAAAUACAUUUAAAUGUGCACUUUUAGUGUUGUGUUGGUAAAAAAAAAUCCCUACUGUCCAUGCGUUUGUGUGUGUGUGUGUACAGGUGAUCCUUGUUCUUUGUUAUUGUGGUUUUAAAACAUACAACAUGGUGCCAUUGGACACAAAGUCAGGGUUGAUGAUCGCAUCCAUGUUUCACUUCAUAGAAGAUGAUGCUGAUGGUCUGUCCUUAGACGGAGGCCUAGACAGAUUCCUCACCAAAGCCUCUGUCAUGACCUUCUCCACCUCCAGCAGUGAGAACAGCUGCUGCUCGCCUUCGUACACUGAUGACGAGUCCCCGAUCUUCAGCCGAGUCCAGAACCCUCGCAGAGUUCAGUUUCAAGAGCAUUUCUCAGUGGCCUGCAGCUCCGUCAGGUAGGUCCUGUUAUAGUGUAUAUACUCCCACUCAAAAGCUUGGGGUCAGAAAGAAAGAAAUUAAUACCUUUAUUUAUCAAGGAUGCAUUUAAUUAAUCAAAAGAUUUUAGCUUCAAAUAAAUGCUUUCUAUUCAUCA